AUCAGGAAGCUGCAUUGCAGGGCACUACAACACGCUAGAUGACCAAUAAAGUUCCUGAUAGAGAAAAGGAAGGCAUUGAAAAGUUACAGAUUCAUGCUACUGAAAGGAAGACAGAUUUUGAAGCCAAACCUAUUGCACAGUAGGUCUAUGAGAAGUGGACCUGGAAAGAGACAAAGUGGAUUGAGAAAGGGGGUCUCAAGAUUCGGGGAAGGGAAAUGGAAGAUUAUCAAGGAAAGCUAACCCUGUAGAGGACAGCCGUUAUGAUCAAGGACAUAUGGAGGACCAUGAAAAGGCUUAAAAUGGUUUAAAGCAGUAGUUUAAAGUGUGUGUCGUUGUUUAUGUGUAAAUACCCUUUUAGGGCUUGUUAUUGUUACUGUUAUUAUUACUGUUCUUGUUAUAUUAAGCAUAUUUAAAGAAAUACAUGUGUUCAUUGCUUUAUAUAGUUCUUAGUAUUUGCUGAGAAAGGGUGUAUCAUGUGGUUUGUCUUACCAAACAUAUACAAUGCUCCAGUCCAAACUAUUAAAGAAUAGUCAGUACAUAUUUAGCAUUAUUGUAGAAUGACGCCUCUGGUGGUUAGCAUCGUGGACUCCUAAAUCACUUGCCCGGUGGGCAAGCAGGAAUAUCCAAAGGUUUUAUUCUUUAAACACGG